AGCUUGGAAUGCUGAGUGGUUUAAGCGUUUAACUUUUACUUAAGGAAUUAUUGGUUCAAGCCCAGUUGAGGUUA
rnacentral:tRNA from 1 species